CGUCACCGUUUAAUGUGUCUAAUAUGUCGAAACCAUGAGUAGUGAUAUAGACAUUCUCAAAUUGCUUAAAGAGGCAUAAGGAACUUUUGCAUGGAUUGAAAGAGGGCAUAAAUCCAGAUUUUUUCUGCUAGCAUCCAUUGCCAAAAUGAGAUGACUCUCUCUCCACUUUCCAUACAAUCUCAAGGAAGAUACUGGAUAGUAGAUAUAUAAGCUCCAUCUUGUGAACUCCUAUAAGAUCAUUGCCUCAGGCGCAAUGUUGCGCGGACUUUCUAAAAUGCUGCAGUACACGUGUCAGAUCCUUUAAAAAUAUACUACUUUUGAAGGAUCUGAUAUGCACCUGAAAAUAUUUUCAGAGAGUUCGAGCAACGUAGCUCAGGUGUGCGGAAGAAAGCAUAGGUUCUUGCAAUUGACUAAUCGCAAUCUGCUAAUAGAAGUAUAUAUGUAAGAAUACAUCGACAUGGAGCAGGGGCUUUUGGGAAAGAAACAGAUAUAAGGCAAUGUGCAAGCCAAUGUGCAAUGGUGACUGCCAACAUUAUGCAAAGGUGAGAAAUAUCAUCUCUUUAUAUUGUAAAUAAAGUGACAUAGAAGAGUACUACGGAAAAUAUAAUAAAGUUGAUGCUUGUGCAACAAAUUCAUUUAGAAUUUUUUAGGUGAAUUAUUCUUUUGGUUAUCAAUUCAAUCCAUAAGUGUUUAGAGUAGACAUGAAUUGAUAACUAAAAAGAAGUUGAGUAACUUGUUAGACCCUGUAAAAUUAUAGUGAAAGUGCAAGUAUUUCCACAAUGUCACUGAUCAUACUGUUGCAGAAACACAUAUGGCCAGCAUUCAUUAAUAGCAAUAACCAAAAAAUUCUACCAAACUGAAAAUUCAAAAUUGAAGCAGAUAAAAUUUGAAAGAUUGUGAUAUGGGGCGGGCAUGAAGUUGUUGACUUACAGCCACUGGUGCAAUUGAGUGAAGAUAGGACCUUAUCUUUUCUCAUCCACUACCUUUCUCGUUUGCCUUUCAUUUUAUCAUGCUCCAUUCCUUUUCUUUUUGUAUAUACA